rnacentral:rRNA from 1 species
CAGCAGCCGCGGUAAUACGGAGGGAGCUAGCGUUGUUCGGAAUUACUGGGCAUAAAGCGCACGUAGGCGGCUUUGUAAGUCAGAGGUGAAAGCCUGGAGCUCAACUCCAGAACUGCCUUUGAGACUGCAUCGCUUGAAUCCAGGAGAGGUGAGUGGAAUUCCGAGUGUAGAGGUGAAAUUCGUAGAUAUUCGGAAGAACACCAGUGGCGAAGGCGGCUCACUGGACUGGUAUUGACGCUGAGGUGCGAAAGCGUGGGGAGCAAACAGGAUUAGAUACCCGCGUAGUCCCUGUCUCUUAUAC